GAGUUUGGUGAUGGCUCUGAUUGAACGCUGUCUAAGUGCUUGACACAUGCUAAUCGAACGAUUAAUACAGUUAAAAAAAAACUAAAUUAAUAGUGGUGUACAGGUGAGUAUAAGAUAUUUUUGCCGACCUUAAAGUAAGAGGACAAUAAGAUCUCUUAUAAACAAAAGGGUUGUACCGCUUUAAGAGGAUGAGAAAUAUCAUAGAGAGAGGUAGUUGUUAAAGUAAUGAUUUAGCUAGCCGCAGAUUCUCUUAGUCGAAACUGAAAGGUUGAUCGACCACAUUGGGCCUGAAAAAAUCCCAAUGCAAAAACGUACAGCAGUGAGGAAUAUUGGUCAAUGGUCUAACGAUCGAACUGGCAACUUAGGGAAAUGGAUGAUAUAAAAUAAUUAUAUAAUAAAGUUUAUAUAAUAAUUAUUAAUAUGCAAUAGUUGUGAAGUUUUGUCUACAUAUUGAUAAUGACAAUAUGUAUAAACAGUCUCGACUAAUUACGUGCCAGCAGUCGCGGUAAUACGUAAGAGACAAGCGUUAUUC
rnacentral:ncRNA from 1 species